rnacentral:rRNA from 1 species
GCAGUCGAGCGGACAGAUGGGAGCUUGCUCCCUGAUGUUAGCGGCGGACGGGUGAGUAACACGUGGGUAACCUGCCUGUAAGACUGGGAUAACUCCGGGAAACCGGGGCUAAUACCGGAUGGUUGUCUGAACCGCAUGGUUCAGACAUAAAAGGUGGCUUCGGCUACCACUUACAGAUGGACCCGCGGCGCAUUAGCUAGUUGGUGAGGUAACGGCUCACCAAGGCGACGAUGCGUAGCCGACCUGAGAGGGUGAUCGGCCACACUGGGACUGAGACACGGCCCAGACUCCUACGGGAGGCAGCAGUAGGGAAUCUUCCGCAAUGGACGAAAGUCUGACGGAGCAACGCCGCGUGAGUGAUGAAGGUUUUCGGAUCGUAAAGCUCUGUUGUUAGGGAAGAACAAGUGCCGUUCAAAUAGGGCGGCACCUUGACGGUACCUAACCAGAAAGCCACGGCUAACUACGUGCCAGCAGCCGCGGUAAUACGUAGGUGGCAAGCGUUGUCCGGAAUUAUUGGGCGUAAAGGGCUCGCAGGCGGUUUCUUAAGUCUGAUGUGAAAGCCCCCGGCUCAACCGGGGAGGGUCAUUGGAAACUGGGGAACUUGAGUGCAGAAGAGGAGAGUGGAAUUCCACGUGUAGCGGUGAAAUGCGUAGAGAUGUGGAGGAACACCAGUGGCGAAGGCGACUCUCUGGUCUGUAACUGACGCUGAGGAGCGAAAGCGUGGGGAGCGAACAGGAUUAGAUACCCUGGUAGUCCACGCCGUAAACGAUGAGUGCUAAGUGUUAGGGGGUUUCCGCCCCUUAGUGCUGCAGCUAACGCAUUAAGCACUCCGCCUGGGGAGUACGGUCGCAAGACUGAAACUCAAAGGAAUUGACGGGGGCCCGCACAGCGGUGGAGCAUGUG